UUUCUUUUCCAUGUAGUGGUAAUACUGAAUUACCGAACUUCCCAAACUGUUGGAGAAGGUCAUAGAAAGGAUAUGACCUCUGGUGGACCUGCCAGCUGGACCCCGGCAAUCAGAGGCUUCUCCCCCUUCCACUGCCCUUGGAGUGUAUGUUCUCUCCACCCUCCCCACUGCCAAAGACAUGAUCAAGGACAGCCUUGAGAGAGUAAUGUGUUAUUGAAAUCAUCUGGGCAGUAUUCCGUGCCUGACCCUUGUUAAGGCCUCUAUAUAAACUCUUAAGAUUCACCAUCAGGUGUUGAGAUUUGUCUUGCGGAAGCCCAGGACCAGCUUAGUAGGUACAUACCUAGGAGUGGGGUUCCCAAGUUUUUGGGCAUCUGAAUGAGCCGUUCUGGCCUUCACCUAGGAUCCUGAGUGCUACAGAAGCUAACACCUCGAUCAUUAAGAAUAUUCUGGAAAUAGAGAAUUUUGAUUAUUUUAAGGGAAAAGAAGUAUUUAUGUUUUUCAAAAGUAUCACAGAAAGAAGAAACUUUAAGAAUUCCUUAACAGAGGAAGAAUUUCAGACUCCAUUGCAUCAGGGUUGAGAAUAUUUUGAAGUGGGAGGCUGAGCAGCUUUUCUGGCAUCUCUUGAAACAUGACAGAGGACAUUGACAAUGGUCCCUUGGUGGAUACAACCAUGUUCCUUUGAAACAGACUGAACAAGACACAAGAGGGAUAUUGAAGCAAACAGACUAUGUUUAUAGCAUUAUUCGUGGAACUGCCCUGGUGCCCUUCUCUAUUUGAAUUGAUUUUGACCACUCCUUUUGUAACCCUCAGUUGAUUCUCAUCUGCUAGGUCAAUAUACUCUUUGACAACUCUA